GACAUUUGGUAGAAACUGUUGAGGCCACUUGGUCCCAGAAGAUCCCAGAAGGUGACCACAUCGCUGGUGCUGGAGCAAGGUCGUUGAGGGUGAAGGCUGGUGCCAGAUGUGU
ensembl:rRNA 5S_rRNA 5S ribosomal RNA